UUGUGGAAUUGUAUUCCAUGAAGGUUUUGAAAUGGCGUGGUUGGCUGCAAAGAAGUAAGGCAGAACUGUACAAGCUGCAUGAAGACAGAAGUCUGCACUUACGGAGAUGCCGUAGAAGCUGGUCAGGAAGGUUUCACUCAUAAUCUAAUCAUCAGAGAUGUCAACAACUCCUGUAGUUCACACUUAAUUGUGACAGUUUGGAUUUGAGCCCUUUGAAAACUGGAACCAUAUCUCACAUAAUUCCAUGUAGCACAGGGCCUAGCACAUG